rnacentral:sRNA from 1 species
UUCAUAUAAUAAGUGAAUUUGUUAAAUUCAACAAAAGAUCUGAUGAAACAGAAGCUGACCAAUAAAACCGAAAUGUAAACUUUAGUGAGCUGAAAAAAUUUAGUCAGAGCUGAGCCUGUCCCAGAGAAAAUGCAUAUUGAUUUCUAAACAAUUAUGAAACGGUGGAAUGGUUACAAGAACUUCAAACACAGACAAUUUUGAGCCUUCCAAGAAAAAGUGUAGUUCAAAAUUUUGUUUAGUACACGUCUACAACUUUGUAGUUUAUAAAGCAAAAUGUCUCUUCUCCCUCCUAUUCUUCAAAGGAAGGGAAAGAAAAAACUGAAGAACACAUGUAAACCAAUAGUUGUUUAUCUGAAAGUCUGCUCAACUACGACGGCAUCUUAGGAGAGGAAUAUAUUUUAACCUUUUCUUCAGAUAAGUCACAAUAAUACCACUGAAUUAUAAAAAAGAAGGGUCGGGAGUCCUACAAUAAAGAGAGAAGAAAUGCUAUUUCAUAGUACAGGAGAAAUAACUAGGGAAAAAAUAAGUUUAAAGAAGCAAUGAAGGAAAAUAGCAUGGGCACAUCCUACGAGAGAUAAGCUGGUUAAAAUCUACAGCUAAAAAAGUAUAAUUUAUUAAUUUUGUGUGAAACUGAAUAGAGUUGACUUGGCAUAGAAUAUCUAUCAUUUAAUUUUGUUGAAAAGACAAAAACCAAGAAUACAAAUGAUAAAUUUCUGUGCUUAGACCACAAUAGAGCUAUUCAAUUUUGUAGCAACAAAAUAUUCAAUACUCUAUAUUAGGAUGAUAACACAAAGAUAAAAUCAAUCUAAUUGAUCCUAAUAUCAACGGUUACUAUAUCUAUAGGAUUUUUAUAUAUCUACAAGAUUCUAACAGUCCUUCUCAAGCUCAGGCAUCUAUAAUAUAAGUCAAACUUGUUACAAAUGUCAUCAACACAAGACUCCUUGAGAAAUGAACAUGUUAGUCAAUUAGUUGCUGGAGUUAACAAAGUAUACAAUAACAAAGGUUCACUAUUGAUUUGAGGGCAUGACAGGUGUUGCAAGAGAGGCGCUGGAGAGUAAAAAACUGCUUGGAGAUUGCAGUGGCUACUAGAGAACUAAAUUGGUCAUGGCGAUUACUAGAGCGCAAAAAUACUUGGAGAGCCGGUGACAGCCGAACAACAAAAGAUGCUGAGCGAAAUGACAAUUGUAGAAGAGCUGGACAGCUACCAGAGAGAAAAAAUGUUUAAUGGAGUCGGUUUUCACACGACAAGGUGAUGUCAGUGGUGGAAGUUGUCGGCUAGAGAAAGCUUGUCGGAAAGUCGCUUUUGGUGAACAAUGAACCCGAUGGAAGAACAGAAACCAAUAAAUGCACAUGGUUUCUAACAUUUUCAUUUAUUCCUAUGCUUAGUAGUAUGUUGCUAGGGACUUGGGUAUUAUGGGGUGUCUAAGUCUCACGUUGAGUAACUUGGAAUGCUUGGUGGAAUAUUUAAGUGUUUAGUUCUCCCCUUUAAUAGCUAGCUUUUGAGAGUGGGUUCCCCAAGUGUCAGGGUUCUCAUCAACUAGUUGUCUAUGUCUCUGAAAACCCUAGAGUGAAAUCCCCGCCAAGAUGUUGAUUCUUAGAAGUGGUACUAUGAUAUAAGACUUAGAUACUGUUAUGGGGGUACCUAAGCCCACAUUGAGUAAUAUGGGAUAAUCAAUGAAGCAUUGAAGUGUUUGGUAGCUUUCCCUUAAUAGCUAAGGUCUGAGGGCAGGUUUCCAAAGAGCUUAGGGACUCAUCAUGUUCAUAUCUAUCUAUUAUUAAAUUCCAUAGAGAACUUAUAGUUUUAAAUUUUAAAUUAUAUGUUCAAUGGUAUAUAGUACUCAGCAUGAGCGCGAGUCUAUAUUAACAUUACUCUUUCUUUAUAGAACUUUCAUCCACAUAUAUUUGUAUCAGACGCAAUUCCAAUAAAUACUCUUUCCAAAAUGGAGAAAUUUAUUUGGCUUUGUAGCACCACUCAAAAACAUAAUGCUACCUUGAGUUUCUGAUACAGCUGUC